rnacentral:misc_RNA from 1 species
UCUGGCUUAUAGCCUAGCGGUCUCGUUAGAGUGCCCAACUUAAUGAUGGUAACUAACGACGAGGGUUGCGCUCGUUGCGGGACUUAACCCAACAUCUCACAGCACGAGCUGACGACAGCCAUGCAGCACCUGUGCACGUUCCACCUUGCGGUGUCAUUCCCCUUUCAGGAAACUAAUCCGUGCAUGUCAAGCCUUGGAUAAGGUUCUUCGCGUUGCUUCGAAUUGAGCCACAUGCUCCACCGCUUGUGUGAGCCCCCGUCAAUUCCUUUGAGUUUUAGCCUUGCGGCCCUACUCCCCAGGCGGGGUGCUUAAUGCGUUAGCUUCGGCACAGACGGAGUCGACACCGCCCACACCUAGCACCCAUCGUUUACGGCGUGGACUAC